UCUCAGGGACCCACGUAGGAAGCUGGGGAAGAUGAAACUCCACACAGGCCUGGCUUUUGAGACAGGAGGUAAUGCCUGAGACUUAAAGAGGCCUCCAGCGGUCUUCAAGUUCAUGACUGACGAUGCAAAUUCAGAGCUGCAGCAGCCCAAGCUGGUCCUUCUCCUGCCCCAGUGUCUGCAAACAACUUUUACAGCUGCCUUCUGGGCCUUCAAGUCUGACUCCAUUAACACUCAGGGUACUCUUGCCCCUGUGCUUAAGGCUUUCAGUAGAUUUCUGCCACUGUGUGAAAGCAGGGCGAUACCCUCCCUGAGCCCACACUCUUCUGCUGUUCAUUGAGAAUGUGAUGGUAAGAGCCCAUUGCUAAAGACACCACACCUUUGACGCAAGCGUAAGCUACUAGUGACCUGGAAGCUUCAUCCUUACUGGCCACCUUUCACAGUGCUGGAAGAUGCUAUGCACGCUACUUGGGAGAAGAAAAGUAGCUACCAGUCAUACUGAGCUGUGAACGCAGCAAGCUGCUAAUGGUUAGCCAACCAAAAUAAAUACAUGCCCACUGGCAACAGAGGUA